GAACCCAUGGCGUAGUGGAUAGCGCUCUUGCUUAUAAAUUUUUGUCCUCAGGUUCAAUUCCGGGUGGGGUCA